UUAAGCGACUAAGCGUACACGGUGGAUGCCCUGGCAGUCAGAGGCGAUGAAGGACGUGCUAAUCUGCGAUAAGCGUCGGUAAGGUGAUAUGAACCGUUAUAACCGGCGAUUUCCGAAUGGGGAAACCCAGUGUGUUUCGACACACUAUCAUUAACUGAAUCCAUAGGUUAAUGAGGCGAACCGGGGGAACUGAAACAUCUAAGUACCCCGAGGAAAAGAAAUCAACCGAGAUUCCCCCAGUAGCGGCGAGCGAACGGGGAGCAGCCCAGAGCCUGAAUCAGUGUGUGUGUUAGUGGAAGCGUCUGGAAAGGCGCGCGAUACAGGGUGACAGCCCCGUACACAAAAAUGCACAUGCUGUGAGCUCGAUGAGUAGGGCGGGACACGUGGUAUCCUGUCUGAAUAUGGGGGGACCAUCCUCCAAGGCUAAAUACUCCUGACUGACCGAUAGUGAACCAGUACCGUGAGGGAAAGGCGAAAAGAACCCCGGCGAGGGGAGUGAAAAAGAACCUGAAACCGUGUACGUACAAGCAGUGGGAGCACGCUUCGGCGUGUGACUGCGUACCUUUUGUAUAAUGGGUCAGCGACUUAUAUUCUGUAGCAAGGUUAACCGAAUAGGGGAGCCGAAGGGAAACCGAGUCUUAACUGGGCGUUAAGUUGCAGGGUAUAGACCCGAAACCCGGUGAUCUAGCCAUGGGCAGGUUGAAGGUUGGGUAACACUAACUGGAGGACCGAACCGACUAAUGUUGAAAAAUUAGCGGAUGACUUGUGGCUGGGGGUGAAAGGCCAAUCAAACCGGGAGAUAGCUGGUUCUCCCCGAAAGCUAUUUAGGUAGCGCCUCGUGAAUUCAUCUCCGGGGGUAGAGCACUGUUUCGGCAAGGGGGUCAUCCCGACUUACCAACCCGAUGCAAACUGCGAAUACCGGAGAAUGUUAUCACGGGAGACACACGGCGGGUGCUAACGUCCGUCGUGAAGAGGGAAACAACCCAGACCGCCAGCUAAGGUCCCAAAGUCAUGGUUAAGUGGGAAACGAUGUGGGAAGGCCCAGACAGCCAGGAUGUUGGCUUAGAAGCAGCCAUCAUUUAAAGAAAGCGUAAUAGCUCACUGGUCGAGUCGGCCUGCGCGGAAGAUGUAACGGGGCUAAACCAUGCACCGAAGCUGCGGCAGCGACGCUUAUGCGUUGUUGGGUAGGGGAGCGUUCUGUAAGCCUGCGAAGGUGUGCUGUGAGGCAUGCUGGAGGUAUCAGAAGUGCGAAUGCUGACAUAAGUAACGAUAAAGCGGGUGAAAAGCCCGCUCGCCGGAAGACCAAGGGUUCCUGUCCAACGUUAAUCGGGGCAGGGUGAGUCGACCCCUAAGGCGAGGCCGAAAGGCGUAGUCGAUGGGAAACAGGUUAAUAUUCCUGUACUUGGUGUUACUGCGAAGGGGGGACGGAGAAGGCUAUGUUGGCCGGGCGACGGUUGUCCCGGUUUAAGCGUGUAGGCUGGUUUUCCAGGCAAAUCCGGAAAAUCAAGGCUGAGGCGUGAUGACGAGGCACUACGGUGCUGAAGCAACAAAUGCCCUGCUUCCAGGAAAAGCCUCUAAGCAUCAGGUAACAUCAAAUCGUACCCCAAACCGACACAGGUGGUCAGGUAGAGAAUACCAAGGCGCUUGAGAGAACUCGGGUGAAGGAACUAGGCAAAAUGGUGCCGUAACUUCGGGAGAAGGCACGCUGAUAUGUAGGUGAGGUCCCUCGCGGAUGGAGCUGAAAUCAGUCGAAGAUACCAGCUGGCUGCAACUGUUUAUUAAAAACACAGCACUGUGCAAACACGAAAGUGGACGUAUACGGUGUGACGCCUGCCCGGUGCCGGAAGGUUAAUUGAUGGGGUUAGCGCAAGCGAAGCUCUUGAUCGAAGCCCCGGUAAACGGCGGCCGUAACUAUAACGGUCCUAAGGUAGCGAAAUUCCUUGUCGGGUAAGUUCCGACCUGCACGAAUGGCGUAAUGAUGGCCAGGCUGUCUCCACCCGAGACUCAGUGAAAUUGAACUCGCUGUGAAGAUGCAGUGUACCCGCGGCAAGACGGAAAGACCCCGUGAACCUUUACUAUAGCUUGACACUGAACAUUGAGCCUUGAUGUGUAGGAUAGGUGGGAGGCUUAGAAGUGUGGACGCCAGUCUGCAUGGAGCCGACCUUGAAAUACCACCCUUUAAUGUUUGAUGUUCUAACGUUGACCCGUAAUCCGGGUUGCGGACAGUGUCUGGUGGGUAGUUUGACUGGGGCGGUCUCCUCCUAAAGAGUAACGGAGGAGCACGAAGGUUGGCUAAUCCUGGUCGGACAUCAGGAGGUUAGUGCAAUGGCAUAAGCCAGCUUGACUGCGAGCGUGACGGCGCGAGCAGGUGCGAAAGCAGGUCAUAGUGAUCCGGUGGUUCUGAAUGGAAGGGCCAUCGCUCAACGGAUAAAAGGUACUCCGGGGAUAACAGGCUGAUACCGCCCAAGAGUUCAUAUCGACGGCGGUGUUUGGCACCUCGAUGUCGGCUCAUCACAUCCUGGGGCUGAAGUAGGUCCCAAGGGUAUGGCUGUUCGCCAUUUAAAGUGGUACGCGAGCUGGGUUUAGAACGUCGUGAGACAGUUCGGUCCCUAUCUGCCGUGGGCGCUGGAGAACUGAGGGGGGCUGCUCCUAGUACGAGAGGACCGGAGUGGACGCAUCACUGGUGUUCGGGUUGUCAUGCCAAUGGCACUGCCCGGUAGCUAAAUGCGGAAGAGAUAAGUGCUGAAAGCAUCUAAGCACGAAACUUGCCCCGAGAUGAGUUCUCCCUGACCCUUUAAGGGUCCUGAAGGAACGUUGAAGACGACGACGUUGAUAGGCCGGGUGUGUAAGCGCAGCGAUGCGUUGAGCUAACCGGUACUAAUGAACCGUGAGGCUUAACCUU
rnacentral:rRNA from 1 species